rnacentral:rRNA from 1 species
UGGGGAAUUUUGCGCAAUGGGGGAAACCCUGACGCAGCAACGCCGCGUGGACGAUGAAGCAUCUUGGUGUGUAAAGUCCUUUCGGCAGGGAAGAAGCCCGAGCAAUCGGGUCGACGGUACCUGAAGAAGAAGCCCCGGCUAACUCCGUGCCAGCAGCCGCGGUAAUACGGGGGGGGCGAGCGUUGUUCGGAAUUAUUGGGCGUAAAGGGAGCGUAGGCGGUGCGGUAAGUCUGGUGUGAAACCUCUGGGCUCAACCCAGAGCUGGCAUCAGAUACUGCCGUGCUAGAGUGCGGGAGAGGAGAGUGGAAUUCCCGGUGUAGCGGUGAAAUGCGUAGAUAUCGGGAGGAACAUCGGUGGCGAAGGCGGCUCUCUGGACCGUAACUGACGCUGAAGCUCGAAAGCUAGGGGAGCAAACAGGAUUAGAUACCCCGGUAGUCC